GACAAAUAACACAUUCAUUUGAAUACAAAGUCAAGAAUCAUGAUGGUCCAAUGAUCUAAGCAAUUUUGACAAAAUUCCAAACCUAUGGUAAACAUGAAUCAAUUAGGUAAACUAAUUAAACAGAAAGAAAUUUGGUUAGAUGAAAAUUGAAAGUUUAUAUGUAAGGCCCCGCCCACAAUUUCGCCUUCCAAAAAUAAAAAUUAAUCAAAA
rnacentral:misc_RNA from 1 species